rnacentral:rRNA from 1 species
UACGUAGGGUGCAAGCGUUGUCCGGAAUUAUUGGGCGUAAAGAGCUCGUAGGCGGCUUGUCGCGUCGGCUGUGAAAACCCGGGGCUCAACCCCGGGCCUGCAGUCGAUACGGGCAGGCUAGAGUCCGGCAGGGGAGACUGGAAUUCCUGGUGUAGCGGUGAAAUGCGCAGAUAUCAGGAGGAACACCGGUGGCGAAGGCGGUUCUCUGGGCCUGACCUGACGCUGAGGAGCGAAAGCGUGGGGAGCGAACAGG